rnacentral:rRNA from 1 species
GGCCGCGGGAAUUCGAUUAAAGUUUGAUCAUGGCUCAGGAUGAACGCUGGCGGCGUGCUUAACACAUGCAAGUCGAACGAACCUUCGGGUUAGUGGCGGACGGGUGAGUAACGCGUGGGAAUCUGCCCUCAGGAGGGGGAUAACGGCUGGAAACGGCCGCUAAUACCCCAUAUGCCGAGAGGUGAAACGAAUUUCGCCUGAGGAUGAGCCCGCGUCUGAUUAGCUAGUUGGUGGGGUAAGGGCCUACCAAGGCAACGAUCAGUAGCUGGUCUGAGAGGAUGAUCAGCCACACUGGGACUGAGACACGGCCCAGACUCCUACGGGAGGCAGCAGUGGGGAAUUUUCCGCAAUGGGCGAAAGCCUGACGGAGCAACGCCGCGUGAGGGAUGAAGGCCUCUGGGCUGUAAACCUCUUUUCUCAAGGAAGAAGAUCUGACGGUACUUGAGGAAUAAGCCACGGCUAAUUCCGUGCCAGCAGCCGCGGUAAUACGGGAGUGGCAAGCGUUAUCCGGAAUUAUUGGGCGUAAAGCGUCCGCAG